rnacentral:rRNA from 1 species
AUGUAUGCCAUGGUCAAUUUUAGGGGGAUUAGCCAAGUCCAUAUUCCUGAUAUGUGGAAAAUUCAUGUCCCUCCUAACAUCCAUAUUUUUCUGUGGCUGUUGGCUCACAAUAAGAUGUUAGUGAGGGAUAACCUCAGUAAGAGACAGCAUUUAGAUGACUUGUCUUGUCUGUUCUAUUCUGAAGGUGAAAAUAUCAAUCAUUUGUUCUUUGAGUGUGUUGUUGCUCUGGAAAUCUGGAGAAUUAUUCACUCCAUUAUAAAUUGCCUCCCCUUACCUAUGCUAAAUAGGGUAGCAGAAAUGUGGGGACAAUAUAAUAAGCUAAAAGCUGAGAAUAUUGUCAUUUCAGCUGUCCUCUGGGCUAUCUGGAGAUGCAGAAAUGACAUGUGUUUUAACAACACACGUUGGAUGGGUGUGCAGGUGGUGCUGGGGAGAAUUGCAGGAUACUGCAACUCCUGGAAGAUCCUAUGCAAAGGAAAUGUAAAAGAGCGCGUGGAGAUGUUCACUGCGGCUAUAUGGGAGGAGGCAAGAAAACCACCGCUGCUGCUUUGGCCAGAGCCAGGCUGA